AGUAACACGUAUGCAAUCCACCUGUAACAGGGGAGUAACCCGGAGAAAUCCGGACUAAUACCCCAUAAUAUGGGCGCUCCGCAUGGAGAGCCCAUUAAAGAGAGCAAUUUUGGUUACAGACGAGCAUGCGCUCCAUUAGCCAGUUGGCGGGGUAACGGCCCACCAAGGCGACGAUCAGUAGCCGGACUGAGAGGUUGACCGGCCACAUUGGGACUGAGACACGGCCCAG
rnacentral:rRNA from 1 species